AUUAAAAGUAUUUUCUGCUCAGUGUUUAUAAAUAGCUGCGGUAAUUUGACCGUGCAAAGGUAGCAUAAUCAUUUGCUUCAUAAUUGGGGGCUAGUAUGAAUGGAAAUAUGAAAAUUUUUCUUUCUUUUUAUUUUUUUAAAAAAUUGUAGUUAAUGUGAAGAUACAUUAUUUUUAAUAAAAGACAAGAAGACCCUUUUGAGCUUUUAUUUAGUUGGGGCGAUUAAAGAAGACUUCUUUUUAUUUUGACCCAAAGUUUUUUGGUUUUUAGAAUUAGUUACCAAAGGGAUAACAGCGUAAUUUUUUUUAAGAGCUCUAAUUAAAAAAAAAGAUUGCGACCUCGAUGUUGACUUAUAAUUUCCUUUUGGUGCAGUAGCUUAUAGGGUUGGU
rnacentral:rRNA from 1 species